rnacentral:rRNA from 1 species
AGAGUUUGAUCCUGGCUCAGAACGAACGCUGGCGGCGUGCCUAACACAUGCAAGUCGAACGUGAAAGUCCUUCGGGAUGAGUAAAGUGGCGCACGGGUGAGUAAUGCGUAGAUAAUCUGCCUGGUGAUCUGGGAUAACAUCUCGAAAGGGGUGCUAAUACCGGAUAAGCCCACGGAGUCUUCGGACUUUGCGGGAAAAGGGGGGGACCUUCGGGCCUUCUGUCACCAGAUGAGUCUACGUACCAUUAGCUAGUUGGUGGGGUAAGAGCCCACCAAGGCUACGAUGGUUAGCUGGUCUGAGAGGAUGAUCAGCCACACUGGAACUGAGACACGGUCCAGACUCCUACGGGAGGCAGCAGUGGGGAAUUUUGCGCAAUGGGGGAAACCCUGACGCAGCAACGCCGCGUGAGUGAUGAAGGCCUUCGGGU